rnacentral:rRNA from 1 species
CAGUCGAGCGAGCUUGCCUAGAUGAUUUUAGUGCUUGCACUAAAUGAAACUAGAUACAAGCGAGCGGCGGACGGGUGAGUAACACGUGGGUAACCUGCCCAAGAGACUGGGAUAACACCUGGAAACAGAUGCUAAUACCGGAUAACAACACUAGACGCAUGUCUAGAGUUUGAAAGAUGGUUCUGCUAUCACUCUUGGAUGGACCUGCAGUGCAUUAGCUAGUUGGUAAGGUAACGGCUUACCAAGGCAAUGAUGCAUAGCCGAGUUGAGAGACUGAUCGGCCACAUUGGGACUGAGACACGGCCCAAACUCCUACGGGAGGCAGCAGUAGGGAAUCUUCCACAAUGGACGAAAGUCUGAUGGAGCAACGCCGCGUGAGUGAAGAAGGGUUUCGGCUCGUAAAGCUCUGUUGGUAGUGAAGAAAGAUAGAGGUAGUAACUGGCCUUUAUUUGACGGUAAUUACUUAGAAAGUCACGGCUAACUACGUGCCAGCAGCCGCGGUAAUACGUAGGUGGCAAGCGUUGUCCGGAUUUAUUGGGCGUAAAGCGAGUGCAGGCGGUUCAAUAAGUCUGAUGUGAAAGCCUUCGGCUCAACCGGAGAAUUGCAUCAGAAACUGUUGAACUUGAGUGCAGAAGAGGAGAGUGGAACUCCAUGUGUAGCGGUGGAAUGCGUAGAUAUAUGGAGGAACACCAGUGGCGAAGGCGGCUCUCUGGUCUGCAACUGAC